GACGAACGCUGGCGGCGUGCUUAACACAUGCAAGUCGAACGGAAAGGCCCUGCUUUUGUGGGGUGCCCGAGUGGCGAACGGGUGAGUAACACGUGAGUAACCUGCCCUUGACUUUGGGAUAACUUCAGGAAACUGGGGCUAAUAACGGAUAGGAGCUCCUGCUGCAUGGUGGGGGUUGGAAAGUUUCGGCGGUUGGGGAUGGACUCGCGGCUUAUCAGCUUGUUGGUGGGGUAGUGGCUUACCAAGGCUUUGACGGGUAGCCGGCCUGAGAGGGUGACCGGCCACAUUGGGACUGAGAUACGGCCCAGACUCCUACGGGAGGCAGCAGUGGGGAAUAUUGCACAAUGGGCGGAAGCCUGAUGCAGCAACGCCGCGUGCGGGAUGACGGCCUUCGGGUUGUAAACCGCUUUCGCCUGUGACGAAGCGUGAGUGACGGUAAUGGGUAAAGAAGCACCGGCUAACUACGUG
rnacentral:rRNA from 1 species